GGGGGUGAAGUCGGUUAGCAGAUGCAUAAUGCCUAGGCACAUGGGGGCAAUGUAGGGCACAUUCAUCUGCUCAGGAUUCUGUGGCUCCUUCCCUGGGGAAAGGAGAGAGCAUCUUGGGUGGAGCCAUUUAUGGAGCAGCAC